AUUUUGGGAAAACGUUCUGGUCAAUGUUAGCCUGCAGUACCUGACGCCGCGGGAGAGAGUGUUUUUUUUAACUCUGACUGUCGUGCCAUGCUGCAUCUUUCUCUACCUUAACGGGGUCAUGUUGUUCACCCUACGAAGUCGGCUGGUGUUCCGUGAGACCUCCCGCUACAUUCUGCUCUACAACCUCCUCCUCUCAGACACCAUUCACCUGACACUGAAUUUGUGUCUCUUCAGGCUCUUUGGGUAUCUCUCUGCCAUGUGCCCAUUAAAAUCGGUGGAUGCUGGAAGGGGACGGGAUACAUGCACUGCGCUGAAUCGGUCGG